rnacentral:lncRNA from 1 species
CAAUAGUGGGGAGUGAAACACACUCAUUGUCAGUAACUGUUUGUUCUGAUCAGGGCCACGGUGGUCCGGAGCCUAUCCCAGAAUCACUGGGUCCGAGGCUGUGGGGUACACCCUGCCAAUCCAUUGCAGGAUAAUCAUACGCUCACACGGUACGGGAAAUGUAGUGUUGCCAAUCCACCUGAAACACAUUUCUGGAAUGUGGGAGGAAACCAGAGCACCUGGAGGAAAGCCACACGGGCAUAGGUAGGGGAGACUAUGCAAACUGCACGCAGACUGAGCCGGAUUCGAACCUACACCAGAAGAGCCCAGGAGCUGCGAGGCACAGGCCCGACCCGCCGCACCGUCGCGCUGCCCGACGUAACAGGCGCCCUUAACUUAAAUCCGAUACUAUGCAGCGAAAGGGGUUUAGAUGAAAGACUCGGUUCGUGCCUCAUUGCAGCCGAUACGAAAAGUCGAAAUCGGCCGUUUGACCCCGUCACACUUAAAAUCAGACACCUCCGCGGAGGCCGCGUUCCCAGCAGAGCCCUCGCCCCGUCAGGGAGCCGGAGGAGACGGCGCACAAUGUCGACGCUGUCACACGAAACCAUAUUUUGGGAACUGGUGGGAGCACUUGUCGGUGGGGGGGCUUCUCGUCAUGUUUCAGGAAUGCGUCUUGAGGAGUUACCGCAAUUGGACAGCAGCGCUGAUGUGUAUCUGCGGGGAGGACGGGUCUCGAGGCUGGGGCUGUGGACGAGGGGGCACCGGGACGCUCGUCCGGCUGCGGACGCCGAACGCUCGGGUUCCGCCCAGUUAAUCGCGUUUGAUUCCCCAACGGUCACGCUGCUGGAGGACACGUUAGGACCAGCCUGGGAAAACCUGGCCGGGCCAGGACAGAUGUGUCCAGCGUGUUGCAUCUGGCCCGGCGGGAAGCGCCACGUCGUAACUGUUGAAUUUAAGGCAUUAUUUUUGGAACAAACAGGAACCUUAAAACUCGAGUCUCAAGCGCUGAACAUCAACAGGCUGCGAAAAAUAGCAAAGUGGCCCAAAAAUCCAGCCUUCAUAUUGGUGCCCUUUUACAGAGAGACACGUUUAUCACGUUCCCAA